rnacentral:lncRNA from 1 species
CUCUGCUGCCAGUCCCCUGCCCCGGGCAAAGCCCAUCUGGUCCGCCGAGCAGGCCGGAGCUAUUGGGAGUGGCGGAUCCUCCCACCCCAGCCGGAUCUGGGCCAUGGCCGAGCCUGGAGAGGGACUGCCAGAGGAGGUGCUGGCACUCAUCUUCCGCCACCUGUCCCUGAGAGACCGUGCUGCCGCCGCCAGGGUCUGCAGGGCCUGGGCCGCCGCUGCUACCUGCAGCGCCGUGUGGCACGACACAAAAAUCAGGUUUCAUCCUGUGGCAGACGCCACUGAAAUCUUCUAAAAGGAUAGGAUGCGAGUUCCCUCCUUUGGGGCAACAGUCGUGGUCUGAACAGAGACGUGGGGAGGGAGGCAGGAAAUGGGAUGGCAGCUGGAACCCCAGCUAAGGGGUGGGUAGAGGCUUCUCCGCUGGUCGCAGGGACUCAGCUGAGGCCUUUUCUGCACGGCUCUAACCCAAGUUGCGAAUGUGAGCUGGAAGGCAUGCUGCCACCUUAUCUGUCCGCCUGCCUCGACCACAUUCACAACCUACGGCUGGAAUUUGAGCCAUCGAGGAAGCCGAGCCGCC